rfam:Picea glauca, whole genome shotgun sequence.
GAGAGCAAAGUACGAUGAAAGUUGUGAGCUGUGUUUGGGGGGGAGUUAUUGUCUAUCAUUGGCCUCUAUGGUAGAAUCAGUCAGGGAGGCCUGAGAGACGGUGGUUUACCCUGU